rnacentral:sRNA from 1 species
AAUCUUAUCUCAAUCCACACCUGUGAAUUAUUUUGUUGGCCUCUCAGGAUAGUAUGUCAGCUUKUAUGACAGAUUUGUUUGCCGUACAAGUUGUUUAGUCUUGAGGUGAUGUUUGAUAUGAGUGGCACUCUGCAGUUUGCUGUGGGUUGUGACAUGCAUCAUUCAUCUUCAAGCAUCAGGCAUUCCAAUCUGCUAUUUAUACCUUAAUAGCAGAGUACGAUGUUGGCCCUUCUCCUAACCAACCUUAACCAAAACAUGUUUUUGUACAAUAAUGCAAUGCGAGAGAGAACAGCUUAGAGCUGUGUCUCUCAUGAACCAAGACAACUCUCAACAACGGAUAUCUUGGCUCUCAGAUCGAUGAAGAACGCAGCGAAAUGCGAUACGUAGUGUGAAUUGCAGAAAUACGUGAAUCAUCGAAUCUUUGAACGCAAAUUGCGCUCGAGGCUUCGGCCAAGAGCAUGUCUGCCUCAGCGUCGGGUUAAAACUCAGUGCCGUACACGCAUAUGUGUGUGUGUGUGUACGACAUUGGAUCUGGUUUUCUCGGCAUUAAACUUUUAUAUAAAAUCUUUAAUGUGCCGGGUGGACUGAAGUGUGUAGAUGCUGAACCAUGGACCGUAUUAUCUCGGGCCUCUACUGGGUAGGCAAAGUCAACCUUAAGUGCGUUGUUUGCUGCAUUGCUUUAGUAGAUGGCUUUGAGGUCCUGUGCUUGGCAAAAAAACAGGAUAUAUUUUAAUCUAAACAACAUUUUUUUAUCGACCUGAGCUCAGGCAAGA